GCGUUUCCGCCGUCAUUUUGUCUGUGAUUCUUCCUACGACGGAGGAAGGUGGAGUCUGAUGAUCUCUCUGGACUGGGGCGGGAUCCUGUCUGGGAACCGGACGGAAAACUCCACAAUGAGGUCCCCGCGCUGCGACGGGUUCUUGGGGAAAGGAAGGCCUUCCCCUCUGAGUCGCUUUACUGUUCCGGGUCGGAUGAUAUCAUGACACGGCAGCGAGAUGACGCGCUUCUCCAGCGUGGGGAUGCUGACCGUACAGCCGCACAACGCCUGCAGAGGGCCAAAGAAGAGGAAAAUGUCAGGAGUAUAUUGAUGACUUCAUUUUUCCAUCAACUGAAAUAGUGUUGACCUUCAGUUUGAGACGCUAAUGAGUCAAAGUGCUGAGAUAAAGUAGUGAGUCGGUCCACAGAGCUAGGCAAACAUGACCUGUGGUGGAAAACGUGUCUUGGUGUCAAUAUGUGAGUGGACCCUAGCAGGAUUGGAGAGGCCAUGACUAAUUUUAGCAGAGUUGUCAUUGCCAGAGCUGACGAAGAGAGGCACACACAUCUGCUGAAUCCACUGCAACGCACUUUCGCUUUGGCGGGUCUGAAAAUAUACUACAUCUUCCAGAAUCCUGUUGUGGGGCACUGCAAAGGGGAGAGAAAGAGGGAGCAGGAAGUGAGCAAACAAACGAACAAACCUUGGCGGAAACAUAACUUCUGUGGCGGAGGUAAUAAAGCGUGGCGUUCGUCUCAAGCACUCCAAGUCCAAAACAGACUCGGCCAAGGGCACCGUGCCGAGGGAAGCACCUGCUGCAUAUCGAAAUACUUGAUAAGUGUUUCAAAUUGUUUUUUUAUUUUCGAACAAAUCGCAAUGAAUCAAUUAAAAGAUAACCAAAAAUCGAUUUAAAUGUUUUGUGAGUGUGAAUGUUGUCUGUCUAUCUGUGUUGGCCCUGCGAUGAGCCUAUCUCAGCUGCCGAAUGCAGCUGAGA